GAGGGGGAACGUUCUCCCAUCCCAGCUCGUUCAGCGGGAUCUCCUGCAGGCCUGGAAUCCCCGGUUCGAGGAGCUGACAACAGGGAUCUUUCAUUUCUUCAAUUAAACAGCUGAAAAUGGAUCCCACCUGUGCUCUCGUAUUUAUUGUGUCACAAAAAUCCACAAUAAUUAUCCCGUGCUGCUGACAAACAGGAUGCCAGGGAACUGACAGCCUGGGUUUGAUGUCUCCACUGAACGUAACAUGGCAUUUUUUUCUGUCAGUUCUGUUGUUUUCAUUAUCUCAAGCUAAUGAACAAGCAGAGGGUAAUGAGCCUGGUGAUGAGAUCCUCAUGGAACGGGAACGAGAACCUGGACACUGGCAAAGAUACUGAGCCAAGGACUCGUUUGAUGGGUGUACCUGUCUCAGGUGACACGGAGAAUUCUGCCGUUCACACAGCACCUCAGGGACAGCCAGGGACUUCUGUGGUUACUGCAAACAAAUAACACCUUUUUUUGGUGCUUAUAACCAGCAAAUGUCUAACCUGCCUUUAUCCCGCUGAUUUACAAAGCCAGCUGAUUCUCCCAGCCAGGAAUUUUCAAUACAAACACUGAAGAGCAUCUGCAAAAACAAAUGUUAUUCAACUUGUGUCCCGCUUUACUCAACCUUUCCUCCUCAGCUGACCUCAAAGUGGUCUCAAAAAGAAAUCAGCAUCGUUAUCUUCCUUUGACAGCUGGGAAAACAGAGGCCAGAGAAAGGCCAGAGGAGGUUUCCUAAAAUCCAUGUGCCACACAGAACCAGCUCCCCUCUCCAGCACCAGCCCCCGAGGGAGAGCAACAGUGUUAAUUCAGUGUUUUUCUGAUCUAGUGCUUGAUCCCUGAAAGCUCCAAGUGAUUUUAACUCUCCAGCACUUCAGUGGCACUCAGCACUCUGCCGAUCCCGCCUGUGACUGGCAGAGCCUUCCCGUCCUCGGCUGCAAAUUGCCCAGUCCCUGCUAAUUAGGCCUUCAUGAAUAGAUUUAUUUAAAUUACACUCAUUGGCAUGGCCAAGGAGUGCAAAUGCCAUUUCAUAAUUCACUUCAGCAAUUUGUUACGUGACCAUCGGUACACUUUGCGUUCAGGGGAAGAAAGUCCAGCACUAGCAGGGACAUUUCAGAAAUCAUUUCCAAAACCAGAGCAAUAUAAAAAUAUUUGCUCUGUGCAUUUUCUGCUGCCCACAGCAUUUACUGAGAGGGCUCGUUGAAUAUUUAUACAUCCUUAGGACCAAAAGAACUGGUAAAAUGGAGAGGGGAGACAUGUAAUUUUAUGUAAUUGGCCUGACUGAAUGCAUUAAAAGCAGCAAAUUAUUAAAGGUGCUCAGUGGUUUUGGCUGAUACCUGAACUGGCAGAGCCUCGGGAGUGCUGAUGGAGUAAUGAUGGACAUCUUCAGCAGCAGCAAUGCAGGUGCUGAUGCAGCCAACAGGUGCUCAGUGUGUGUUUAGGGAUAUUUAAUCUAAAUUUCUCCGAGUCUUUGUUGAGCUCUCACCCCAGCCUGGUUCUCCCCCAUCCUGGUCCCCAGCGCUGGAACCAUCCCAGUGCUGUUUCAUUGGGAGCAGCAGCACCACCACCCGCAGCAUGGAAAAACACAACAACCCAGAGCCUUGUUGUAAAAUUUACACGACCCAUGGCUGGUUCCCACCUCAUCUGGGCUAAUUCUGCCUUCCUGGGGCCAGGGAAGGUGCCAAGACCUGAGGCUGGUGCAUGCACGUGGCAGCAGCAGGAGCCUGCAGGGAGCUCAGACCCCAAUAUAGGCAUGAGCAAACAGAACCACAUGCCAGGGGCUCUGCUGGGAAUGCCAAGAAAAGCUCCAUUUCUGGCAAAGUCAAAAAAAAAAACCAAAAAAAGCUUUUUUUUCAGGUGUAAAUCUCUGUGGGCCAUGUAGCUGCUGUGCCCGCGGGCAGGGAGGGAAUGGCACUGUCAGGGCUGGAGCCUGGCAUGGCAUCGCUCCUGUCCCUCCCAGGCUCGUGAUGUCUGCUCAUCAGCGAGCCCAGCUCCUCAUUAUUCCAUCACUAAUUAAUCCCUUCUGCGGCAGUGGUGGAGCAGGAAUGUCACGGAAAGGAUGUGGCACAUCCCGGGGAGGAACAGCAGCCAUCAGCACCAGGGCCUGCACCAAAAUCAUCUCCCCUCAGGUGCUGGGGCAGAGUGACAGCCCGAUAGAAACACCACAGCUGACAUCUGAGACCUUCUGGAUCAUCUCUAAGCCGUCAGCUUAUUUUCAGUGUAUAAUUAGCAAAUAAACUUAU